UAGAGUUUGAUCCUGGCUCAGGWUGAACGCUGGCGGCGUGCCUAAUACAUGCAAGUCGAGCGAAUGGAUUGAGAGCUUGCUCUCAAGAAGUUAGCGGCGGACGGGUGAGUAACACGUGGGUAACCUGCCCAUAAGACUGGGAUAACUCCGGGAAACCGGGGCUAAUACCGGAUAAYAUUUUGAACUGCAUGGUUCGAAAUUGRAAGGCGGCUUCGGCUGUCACUUAUGGAUGGACCCGCGUCGCAUUAGCUAGUUGGUGAGGUAACGGCUCACCAAGGCAACGAUGCGUAGCCGACCUGAGAGGGUGAUCGGCCACACUGGGACUGAGACACGGCCCARACUCCUACGGGAGGCAGCAGUAGGGAAUCUUCCGCAAUGGACGAAAGUCUGACGGAGCAACGCCGCGUGAGUGAUGAAGGCUUUCGGGUCGUAAAACUCUGUUGUUAGGRAAGAACAAGUGCUAGUUGAAUAAGCUGGCACCUUGACGGUACCUAACCAGAAAGCCACGGCUAACUACGUGCCAGCAGCCGCGGUAAUACGUAGGUGGCAAGCGUUAUCCGGAAUUAYUGGGCGUAAAGCGCGCGCAGGUGGUUUCUUAAGUCUGAUGUGAAAGCCCACGGCUCAACCGUGGAGGGUCAUUGGAAACUGGGAGACUUGAGUGCAGARGAGGAAAGUGGAAUUCCAUGUGUAGCGGUGAAAUGCGUAGAGAUAUGGAGGAACACCAGUGGCGAAGGCGACUUUCUGGUCUGU
rnacentral:rRNA from 2 species